ACAAUAUGCAAACACCUAUCUCAUUGUUGAGUAUCGGUUUACAAGUGAAAACCCAUUUGAUGGAAAACAUUGGUGAAUAUAGCUGUCUGCCGUUGCAUUUGGUUGGGAAGCAGCCAGCUGAGCUCUCCUACUUGCUAUUCCCAUGCCACUUCAUCCAUCCAUCCAUUCAUCCUGCCAUUCAUCCUUUCAUGUCAUCGACCCCCGCAUUGCCACAGAUGGAGAGCCAUCCGAAAAAAAAGAAGGCACAUUAUACAUCAGAAUCCAUGGAUGAAGAAGGUCCUUUGAAUUUCAAACCAUGCGAAGGGGGACAGUGGCACUCCAUGGAACCGCACCAGACUACCAGAUGAAAGGCGACCUGGGGAAGCAGCUCAGAUUCCCAGAACACAUCGUGGAAACCACGCUGAGACCAGACAAAGUUUUGUUCUCAGGUUGGAUAAAACAGGUGGUCCUACUGGAGUUCACAGUUCCCUGGGAGGAGUGCAUGGAAGAAGCCAAUGAGAGUAAGCGUGCCAAGUACGCCAACUUUGUGGAGGAGUGCCACAGACGGGGGUGGUGUGCCGGGUGUGUGCCAAUAGAGGUGGGCUGUACUGUAGAGGCUUAACAGCGCAAUCUCUCUGCAAAGCAUACAGCCUGCUUGGACUCACAGGUGUAAGGCCAUCAAGACCACCACAGAGGCAGCUGAGAAGGCCUCUAGAUGGCUGUGGAUCAAAAGGGGGCGAUCUGUGGGUACGUGCUACUAAGAUACAAAUCUGGACUUGAUCAAUGCCGGC
ensembl:lncRNA